rnacentral:tRNA from 1 species
GUAGACAUAGUUUACACAAAACAUUAGACUGUGAAUCUAAAAUCAGGAGAUUAUAACCCCUUGUUUACC